AACUGAUUAAUGAGGGUCACUGACCCCAGAGGUCCAGCCUCUCGGUGCAGGCUGAGGUCAGCAGGCCCACGUGGGAGUGUACACACCUGCUCAGCACGAGUGUUGAGGGGUUCCAGCUCUGCGAAGGCAGCCCUUCAGCAGCGUCUGAGCUUUGCUAAGUUCCAGAAGGAGCACUUGGACAGAUGUCAUGGUGUCGUGUUGGCAGCCCAUGGUCCAAACCACCCAUGCCAGAGACCCAGGCACCGUCCUGUCCCCACAUCGAGCUCUGUCAUGAAACCUGCCAGGACAACUUCCUCAAAGUUUGGGGGCAAAAUUCAGGAGUGGCUACAGAGGGAAAACAAGACCAGAACAAGCUAAAGGAAGAGAUGAGGCAAAGUCACAGAUAGAGCUGUUGGAGAGAGAAAGGAGUGGCCUGAGCAUUCUACCCAUACGUGGACAUCGCCACAUCAGAAGGAGCACCUGAAGUCCUCGUCCAGAGAAGCUACGCCAAUCCACACCCUGAUAGUGGCAGUCGACCCGGGGAAUUCUAUUAAAU